ACCAGACUCCUACGGGAGGCAGCAGUGGGGAAUAUUGGACAAUGGGGGGAACCCUGAUCCAGCGACGCCGCGUGAGUGAAGAAGUAUUUCGGUAUGUAAAGCUCUAUCAGCAGGGAAGAAGAAAUGACGGUACCUGACUAAGAAGCCCCGGCUAACUACGUGCCAGCAGCCGCGGUAAUACGUAGGGGGCAAGCGUUAUCCGGAUUUACUGGGUGUAAAGGGAGCGUAGGCGGUUCAGCAAGUCAGAAGUGAAAGCCCGGGGCUCAACUCCGGGACUGCUUUUGAAACUGUUGAACUAGAUUGCAGGAGAGGUAAGUGGAAUUCCUAGUGUAGCGGUGAAAUGCGUAGAUAUUAGGAGGAACACCAGUGGCGAAGGCGGAUUACUGGACGAUAACUGACGGUGAGGCGCGAAAGCGUGGGGAGCAAACAGGAUUAGAUACCCCCGUAAG
rnacentral:rRNA from 1 species